rnacentral:rRNA from 1 species
CACGUAGGGCGCAAGCGUUGUCCGGAAUUAUUGGGCGUAAAGAGCUCGUAGGCGGUCUGUUGCGUCCGCUGUGAAAACUCGGGCUUAACCCCGAGCCUGCAGUGGAUACGGGCAGACUAGAGGUAGGUAGGGGAGAAUGGAAUUCCCGGUGUAGCGGUGAAAUGCGCAGAUAUCGGGAGGAAUACCGGUGGCGAAGGCGGUUCUCUGGGCCUUACCUGACGCUGAGGAGCGAAAGCGUGGGAGCGAACAGG